AUCCAACUGACGAGUCUCAAAUAGGGCAAAAUGUGCAUCCUAGAU
rnacentral:hammerhead_ribozyme from 1 species